AACCUGAUUUGAAUUUCAAGAUACUAGUCCUCUCCCGGCGGAAGAUAUCCCUUUUAUUCCGAGCUACGGAAGGCCAGAAGGACCAAGGUUGCUGACGCCGCUCUGCGUGGCAUGCAGGGAUGCGCCUUUGUGUGGCGCCUCUUGGUUCCUUUUGCCCUGUGCCUCCGGAGCCUUCCCUGGCUCCCCUGUGUCUAAAGCAUCACAGCCCCUAGUGUCUUUCCUAAUUCUCCUCUUCAAGAGUCGCCCAGCUAGACUUGAAAGUGUCGAAGGCAGCCCCAGGAGGAGGAAAGGACCGCUGGGUGGCCGGUGCGCCUGCUGUUGAGCCCCGGGCCUGGCACUGACCAUUUAGGUGGACUUGCGCAAGAAAUAAACCUCGCCGGCCUGGUUCUUCUUCUGCAUAACGGAGAGGAUACCUGCCUCAUGGGUUUGUUGUGAAGUUUAAAUGCGAAGCACCUGUAUGUGGUUCAUGUUAACCCCCUGCUUCCGACUUAGGAGAAGUUGCCCCUGCUGGGAACUUGGGAGCUAAAUGUGUACUUUCCCAGAAAACUGCCAUUUCCCAUCGCUCACGCUCAUAAACCGAAAAAGACUGUGUCACUAAUUCACAAGUUUUGCUCCAUCAAUAAUCCUGUUUAUGACUCUACUACCCCCUUCCUAUCGGGUCAUAUGUUGAGAAGUUUUGUGCUUAACCAUUGAACGCUUACUGAGCACCUACUAUUUGCUACGAACUGUUAGGCACCAUGCUAGGCAAUGGGAAUAAAGAUGAAUAAGACAUGACUUUGCCCUUGAGGAGCUCCUGGACUGGACCAGAGAUGACCACAGAGACAUAAUACGGGAUAGCGUAAUGUUUAUAAAAGUAUGGAAGCGUUUCAUUAAUUAACAAAUGUGUUCUGAGCAGCUGCGUCUGCUAAAAUGCUGAAGACAGAGCUGAAACAUACCUGAUGACAGCAAGUCCACUCCUAGAACACUCAGUAGAAAUGAGAAAGCACGUGCCCCAGGAGACGUGUGAAAGAUGUCGGUUUCAUUAGAAAGCCAGCCACCCUGGAAACAGUUGCAUACUCUAUCAACAGUAGAAUAGAUAAAUGCUGUACAGCAAUGAAGACAGCAUAAACACCUGCUACAAAGCAAUGUGGAUGCACCUCAUGGAAUCUUGGGUGAAAGACGCCGGAAACAAAAGGCCAUAUGCCCUAGGAGUCUAUUUACAUAGAGUUCAAAACCAGGCUGGACCAGUCCCUGCUGACAGCAGGCAGGCUUUGGUUCCCCUUGGGUGAAAUAGUCUAUUUCUUUGACCUGGGUAGUAGUGGCACAGGUGUGUGUACUUUAUGACAUUCACUGAGCUGUCCAUUUAGGUUUUUAUGUUUCUAUGUGUAUACUUCAAUAGAAAGUUUACAUUAAAAAAUGAACCCAUCUGAGUUUGUUGGGCAGUUUUAUGACUGUAUCUGUGACCUGAAAAAUGGUUACAUGUUCACUGUCAACUAGAGUGUUGCUUCAGAAUUGAAGUGGUUUCUUCAUCUAAACAUGCUGCCAUGCCGCCUGCUUUGGCCACUGUGGCUGCUCUUGCACCAGUCCUUGCUCUGCAGUCCAGUCCUUGGAGAGCUGUGUGCCGGGCCAGUGCCGCAUUCACUGGCAGACACUGCCGCUGCACAUACUUCAUGCACUCGAAGAGGAGGUGUUUCCAGAUACCUACUGUGAGCCAGAUGCUUCGUGUAUGAUAUUUUAAUUUCGCUCUCUCAACCUGGGAAGUCAGUACAAUAGACAAAACCCCUGAGUUCAGGGAGGCAACAUAACCUGCCCGUGCGGGGCUCUUGGCUAGUAAAAUACAAAGCGGAUUGGACAUCAAGUCUCCUUCUGGCACAGAGUCCUGCGUAGAGCAUUGCACCCCACUGCCUGCCGCAAGCUGGUGACAGGAGGUCAGGUGGCAGGAAUAAGAGAAAGCUGACUCAGUACAUCAGGGGGCUAAGAAACACCUUUCAAGAAUCAAUCCAGGGGGCUUCACUAACCUGACUCCCUCCAUCCCCACCCCAGGCGAAAUGACUCCCGCCCUCUCUGGGCCCACAUUGCCACCAGUACACCCCCAGCACAUUUUACUGUGCCUGCCUCGAGGUUGGUUGUCUCGCUCUCCUUAAAGACAGCACAGAGCCAGCCCAGGGUGGGCACUCUGGAAUUCUCUCAUUAGUCCUCCUGCCUGAGAGCAGUUUCAACAAGAGGGCUGAGUGCAGAAUUCCAGCCACUGAGGGUACCAGGGGAUUCAGGUCCAAACAUGUUUGUGAGGGAAAGCAAAACUCAGUGCACGCGAGCCGGCUUCCCAACAGAAUCUCUUUAACUGUGAAAUGCCACAACAUGCUUAUGAUCAGUGAUUCCUCCUCUGAAAUGGAAAUGGGUGAGCUUUCUCACGUGCAUCAACUCCUCUGCCAAAACUCAGCCUCCUGGAACAAGAACAAGGAUUAACUAUACAAACCACCUCUUGCUCAUGUGUAAUUUAGGAGUCAAUAUAAAGUAACACUUUCUGUACCCAGUAAAUGAGAAACAUAAUAUGCUCUCCUUGGCUCACUAAGUAAAAAAGGAGAUUUAGAAGGCCUAUUUUAACCAUUUUUUGAAAGCUUAACUGGAGAAGGGAUAAAAGCUGAAUGUAUGCUGAGAUCUAGUAACCAGGAAGUAUUGGUAAAUAUAUGUAAUAUGCCUUUUCUCUUAGCUUAUGUGAGUAUAAUUAAUUGACCUUCAGUUUCCUUCCACAAGGGAAGAAGUUACAAUAAGAAGAGUGCUAUGGUGCAUGGUUCUAUAUUCAGGUGAAAGUCAGCAAUAUAGAAUUAUCUCCUAUUUAUGCUGGAGUCCAAGUUCACCAGAGACAAAACAACACGAAAACCAAAAAACAGCUAGGAGGAUCAGUUUUCCAUGGUGGAAUAAAGAACUGAUAUCCUAUCAAUAGCUUUCACUAAUGGAGAUGAAUUGGAUAAAACCACUGAUCUCUUAAAACUUUCCUUGUUCAGCUGCAAAAGUGCUAUCUAAAAACAAUCUAUACCAAAGACCACUGCUGCCCCCCCCACCAUUCCUAGAAAUCUAUUUUAGAAAAGAGAGGUAAUUACAGGCUAGUGAGAUCAGCAAAGUAAAUUGUUUUAACUGGAACUUGUCAGCCCAAUUAUAACUUUGAAAGUAAAAUGACAUGUUUAGAAGGAUAAUAUGAGAACUUUUCAAAGGUUCUCUUAAAAAUCUGCAGACUUGUAAAAAUGCUCUUAAUCUUGACUUUUUAUUAGCUUAUUCUCCUACCCACCGUGAGGGGGUUUAAGCAGAGACUAGGAGCGGGGUCCUUGAACUCCUCUCUCCGCAGAGGGGUCAUCUUAUUUCACCAAGGCAGCAAGCCUCUUGGACCUGUCUGAAGCAAGAUUAACCUGGGGAAACUGGGUUUUGCAACUGUUAAACUUUCUGCCUGUACAUGCCCCUCUGCCAUCAGUUGCUUGAUUCUCAGACUUCUGCAUCAGCCCGCAUCUGGCUGUCACAGCUGGUUAGAGGGAAGGGCAGCCCUGGAUUCUCUCCUGCCUGGCCUCGGUUUCCUCCUGGGACUGCAGACGCCUCGUGGGUCUGACAAGAGGAGGGCCCCAGCCUAAGACAGUUGCGCAUCUGAAUCCUUUGGAAGGCAAGAUACAGCCCAUCUUCUCCCAAAUCCUGCCUAUAAGCAGCAUCACAGAAAAUGGCCAGUGCACAUGGUGGACAAAUGCCAGAAAGUAAGGUCCCAGAUAAGGAAACCAGUGACAAAAUGAAGCUGUAAAGCCUGACACAAAUACCAUGAGAUUGGUUUCUAAAGUCCUUGCAGCUCCAGUAGCGUGUGUGUCUGAGUCCAAGUCAGGCAAGCGACUGCCAAAACCAAGGGUGGUCUGUGAAAGAACCGCGGGAGGGACCUGUGGAUUGUGCUUUGCAGCCAGACCCACAGGGGCAGCUGCAGGCAUGGGGCCCCUUCCCGCCACCACUGCAGUUUCCAAUGAAGAGACCCUUCCGUGACACUGAUCGUUCAAAAUGGCCAUGGCUAGGCUUACUGCUUCAUCCUCGUGGGGCUCGAGGGAACUGAGAGGCCACCUCCUGCAGCCCCACUGCAUGGACGCUCUGCUGGCAUGCCUGAGCAGCCACCCCAUGUCUGCCCUGUGCUGCUGGCAAGUUCUAACUCAAGAACCUUGGGUAGUGGCUACAAGGAUGGCAGAAAUGAGGACCCUACCACAGUUUAUGUUUUAGUUUUGUCACAUUUGCCUUAAUUUUGCCUUAAAUGCACCACAGUAAAACUAAAAGAAAGAUAGAAAUCAGCAUAAAUCUUGAAAUACUGUAGUGCUGGUACAUCGACAUGUGACCCUCAGGAGCAGCUCUGCACCCUCACUGUGCACUGGGAGGACAGUGGAGCACACUCUGCUCCCUGGAGCAGGAAGACGUCCUGGGCUGGCCUCAGGAGUCACAGCUGGGCUCUGCUUUCGUCCCUAAUUGAACAUGUGGUCUGGGUCAAACUUCACUUCUUCUUUGCAUUCCAAAACAUCUAAAGCUUCUCAUGGCUCAAAACUAUUACUGGUAACACUAACAGUAGCGACAGCAACCACUGAAGGACUGUCUACCGGGUUUUAGGUAUGGUGCUGUGAGCUUUACACGGGUUAGUUCAUUCACUCACAACCCAGGAGCGACCUGUACUGUCCCAUUAUCCAGACGAAAAAAGUGAGGUUCAGAGGGUUACCUAUUAAGAGGCCAAGCCGGGACCUGAUUCUCAAGCCUAGGUCCUCCUUCAUCCUGACACAGUGCCACUGAAUCCCCUCAUUACACAGAGGCUCGUCCCCAAAUCAGAACGAGACAGUGCCACUCAGCUCACCUGCAAGUCCAGGGAGAGGCCGGCUCCUUGGCUCAUCCGGGAACUCAGAGGCUCAGAGAGCAUCUCUGUGGGCCCUUUGCCCCCUCCUCCUGUUGAUCCUCUCGCCUGGUCCUUUUAACACUUGUUCCGUGUCCCACCCUUGCUUUCCCCUGUACCGGGAGGUACUGUUAACGAUGACAGUCAACACUGGGUUAAAGGGCUGACGCUCACCACACGCACCAGCUUUGAAGGGACUUCUGGCAAAAUCUACUCAAAUAUCAAAAAGUGGCACACAGCUCUCCUCCAGCACAAUCAACUAGGACUUACAAUACCGUUUCUGACAGCGUUUCAAGCCACUGGAUCACCGGAACAGCAAUACAGCUAAAUACUGGAUUCGGUCUCAAACGAGCUAUUUCUCUGAACCUGGUCACAGGCCACACUCCAAAAUCCACUCACUGCAAAUCUCUCUUUGGCUGAAGAUAGACUGAGCCACAGCGUAGACAGGCCAAACUGUUACAGAGAAACAGCCUCUAAAGAGCGGAACUGCUGGCGAGGUAAGGGUUAUCACUCACACAAGAUCGUUGUUAUGGCCGUCCCUGGAUGAAAUGCUGCAACUCACAUAUGCAUUCUAACAACACAAAAACCAACCCACGAAAACCUCUAAUUGAAAAUGCAUAGCAAUGAUGUAGUUAAAACAACUACUUUUUAGUCUGACCAGAGGAGGAAUUAUUUUUUGACUUGUCACAUUUAAAAAUAUUUUCCAUAUUAAAGUGUUUUUUAAAGUAUAAUAAUUUUCACCACAAAUUUAGAAUUUUGGACAAGAAUAUAUUUUACUUUCUCAUAAAAGUUCUACCAAAAAUAUAUAUUUUUCUUAACUUAAAAAUACAACUUUGGAAAGGAAAAUGAGUUGUUAUAAUUCAUUACAUGUUUUACAAACAGCAGUGAAAGGAAGAAAUCAA